rnacentral:lncRNA from 1 species
CUGUGAUCCUACACGUCCCUCUAAAACAUCUGCUGUGUGCCCAGGGCUACACUAGGUGCUGGAUACCAUAAUGAAACCCAAAACACAGCCCCUGCAUCCCAGGCAGAUGGAGAAGAAUGGCAGCGCGGUUAACGGGAGGGGCGUGUUCACAGCCCCGGAAAUACUGCAAAUACUGCAGCUACUUCCAUCGCAGAACCGUGAGCUUGUUGCCCACUGACAGACGCAAACAAAUGCCAUUUCCUCAGGAGCCAAGAAUGAGGUGCUCUUUUCAAAUUUUCUGUGCUCCACAGAGCUGUGCUUAGAUGCUUCAUGCUGCUUCGAAGUUCUGAGGCAAGAUCCUAAGAUCCUGCAACCUCACAAGCUCACUUACAAAGCAUUACUGUAAUGCAUCCCAGCAAGAAGCUCUGUUUCACUGUAGCUUGGAGCACAAGAUUGCCUUGUAAAUAGGAAACGAUGAUGGAUGGAAGACAGCAGAGGCUUGUGGAAUUUUAACCCUGAUGGUAAGGCUGCCGCUAAGAAUAACCCUGCUGUGCUUCAGGCCAGGGAGGCUGAGCAGAAAACCCUCUUUUCUCAUUGCCCCACCUGCCUCUUCUGGACGCAAUCAGCCAAGGAGUGAACAGUCUUGUGGAUCCCUUGUCUGCAUAGCCUCAGAGCACUCUUGAGCCUGCGUUUUCAUCAUUCCCAGGCCUCCUGGAUGAAACUGAGCAGCCCUUGAUGCCUGCAGACAGUCUCCACUGAGCUUUCCUAGUUUAUCUUUAAGUCCUGUCCCAAGAGGUUUGUCAGUCUCUGUCAAAUAAGACAUGUUGCUCACACUGAGACCUUGUUCUUAUCCAGGCACAAAUAAACUGCUAUUUUCCAUGAUGCUUGGACUUCACUCUUGUUAACUUAUUAAGGCCCUAAGGGCCCAGAGGGACAAGUUCUAUUGUCAUCUGCAUUUAGUGAACGGAGUGUGUGGAUGUCACACGGCAGAGCCAAGACCCAUCACAUCUUCAGGCUACAUCACCCUGCUCACCGCAUGGCUCAUGGCAGGUGGCAGGUGAGGGUGACAGUGGAGGCACACUUUCCCUAGGAUGCUGUUACAGAGCUCAGGGGAUGUGGAAAGGCAUCACUUUGGAAGUGUUCCCCACACAUUAAAGUUACCUAUUCCUGAAGAUCCUUACAAAUGUUCAACCACUUUGGAGGGAUGUAUGCAUUGCCUCUUAUAAAGUAGGUUUUUAAAUUUGUCCUAAAUCCCCUUCCUCUCAAACGUGUUCUCAUUAGAGAACUCCAGGAUUUCAGCAGACAUAUCCACAUGCUCGUUUUCAAGGUCCUUCAUGAUAUCAGAGACCUGGAGCCAUAACCACUGACUGUUACCAGCCACACCCGUCUCAUCUGCAGCCUCUCCAGAAGCAAGGAAGCCAAGCUUCACCUGCCUGUGUGCUGAAGCUGCCUUUACCCUUCUUGAUUUGUGUUCUAGUGUUUUAUUCACAAAGUCUUUUCCUACCAAGGAUCUUUUUAAAAAUGUAUAUUUUCUUUUUAAAAAGUUUUGCUUCACAUAAUGAGAAAUGCCCCUGGAAGUUUUUCUAGCCAAUGUGAGUUCGGUAUGUAAUUUUAUUGUUUUUCAUUUGGAAAGCAAAUUGUCCUAGCUCUAUUGUUUGGCUACUCCAACUUUUUUCCCACUUCCCUGCUAGUUUUUAAUGGUCACUCUUUCAUAUAAUCACUUAUUUAUUUAAUCUAUUGGAUGCCUCUAGUAUGCCAGGCGCUGUUGUAAGUGCUGCUGAUAUGACACAAAGGCAGAAAACAGCCCUGCCCUCGUGGAGCGCAGAUUUUAGUGGACCUGGAGGAUUUUCCAGGCAGAGAAAAUACCAAGUACAGGGACAAGAAGCAGAAGUUCUGUGUGUUUGAGACACACUUGAGAAGGCAGUGUGUUGGGAAAAUAAAUAAGGUAGGAAAAGGAUAGAAGACAAGAUCAGAAAGGUAGCACCUAGAGCCCAAGCUAAAAAUUUCGGGAUGCAUUUAAGUGUGAUGAAAAUCCACCAAGAGUGAAAUCAGCGAGGCCGAUAAGAAAGCUCUUCACACAGUUUAGACAGCAGACAAUGGUGGCGGCUUAGACGCAUGUGCAAUGUAUGUAGUGCCCUAGGAAGAGUGACUGGAUUUUAGAUAUCACUUGAAGGUCAAGCUGAUGAAUUUGUGUAUAGUCAGAGGGAAAGGGAGAAGGUUUUUUUUUUUAUUGGAGUAAUUAUGUAAAAUAGUGGUGUCGUUUUAUUGAAAUAGAAAUCCUGCAGAAGCAGGUUCAAGGGCAGGAGUAGAAAGUGAAGACAAGAGUUCCAUUUCUAAAAUGUAAGCUUUACACACUUGUUAGACAUGGAGAUGUCUUGCAGACAGUUAGGAAUGCAUUCCAGGAGCUCAGGAGUUAGGGUUGUGGAUAUAAAUGUGGUUGUCUUUAGCACAUAGCUGAGAACUAAAGCCAUAGCAUGAGAUGAGGUCACCCAGCACAUGAGUAUAAUUAGAGAAGGUGGAUUUGUAUUGGCUUUUUUUUUUUUUUUUUUUGUAGACUGCAGUGGGAAAGUCAUUGGCCCCUUUCUAGACUUAAUUCUGUUUCAUUAAUCUACUGUUUAUCCAUGUGCUAAAAAACACAUU